AUUGAACGCUGGCGGCAGGCUUAACACAUGCAAGUCGAACGGUAACAUAAAGAAGCUUGCUUCUUUGAUGACGAGUGGCGGACGGGUGAGUAAUGCUUGGGAAUCUAGCUUAUGGAGGGGGAUAACUACGGGAAACUGUAGCUAAUACCGCGUAAUAUCGAGAGAUUAAAGUGUGGGACCUUCGGGCCACAUGCCAUAGGAUGAGCCCAAGUGGGAUUAGGUAGUUGGUGAGGUAAAGGCUCACCAAGCCGACGAUCUCUAGCUGGUCUGAGAGGAUGACCAGCCACACUGGGACUGAGACACGGCCCAGACUCCUACGGGAGGCAGCAGUGGGGAAUAUUGCGCAAUGGGGGCAACCCUGACGCAGCCAUGCCGCGUGAAUGAAGAAGGCCUUCGGGUUGUAAAGUUCUUUCGGUAGCGAGGAAGGCAUUUAGUUUAAUAGACUAG
rnacentral:rRNA from 1 species